rnacentral:tRNA from 1 species
UGCGGGAUAGUGUAAUGGUAGCACGCCAGGCUCUGAACCUGGAAAUUGGGGUCCGAAUCCCUGUCCCGCAG